AGAUUGAACGCUGGCGGCAUGCUUUACACAUGCAAGUCGAACGGGCUGAGGGGCAACUCCUCAGUCAGUGGCGAACGGGUGAGUAAUGCAUCGGAACGUGUCCCGUAGUGGGGGAUAACCCGGCGAAAGCCGGACUAAUACCGCAUAUGCUCUACGGAGGAAAGCGGGGGACCUGGAAAGGGCCUCGCGCUAGUGGGAGGCGGCCGAUGUCCGAUUAGCUUUGUUGGGUGGGUAAUGGCCUACCAAGGCGACGAUCGGUAGCUGGUCUGGAGAGGAUGAUCAGCCACACUGGGACUGAGACACGGCCCAGACUCCACGGGAGGCAGCAGUACGGGGUAAUUUUGGAACAAGUGGGGACAACCCGUGAAUCCAGCCAUCGCCCGCGUGGACGGGAAGAACGGGUCCGUUUCGGUUAGUAACCGUUCGUUUUAGGUACGGAAAGAAAGG
rnacentral:rRNA from 1 species